rnacentral:rRNA from 1 species
CGAUUGGGAGGCAGCAGUAGGGAAUCUUCCGCAAUGGACGAAAGUCUGACGGAGCAACGCCGCGUGAGCGAAGAAGGUCUUCGGAUUGUAAAGCUCUGUUGUUAGGGAAGAACAAGUACCGUUCGAAGAGGGCGGUACCGUGACGGUACCUAACGAGAAAGCCACGGCUAACUACGUGCCAGCAGCCGCGGUAAUACGUAGGUGGCAAGCGUUGUCCGGAAUUAUUGGGCGUAAAGCGCGCGCAGGCGGUUCCUUAAGUCUGAUGUGAAAGCCCACGGCUCAACCGUGGAGGGUCAUUGGAAACUGGGGGACUUGAGUGCAGAAGAGGAGAGCGGAAUUCCACGUGUAGCGGUGAAAUGCGUAGAGAUGUGGAGGAACACCAGUGGCGAAGGCGGCUCUCUGGUCUGUAACUGACGCUGAGGCGCGAAAGCGUGGGGAGCAAACAGGAUUAGAUACCCUGGUAGUCUACGCCGUAAACGAUGAGUGCUAAGUGUUAGAGGGUAUCCACCCCUUUAGUGCUGUAGCUAACGCAUUAAGCACUCCGCCUGGGGGAGUACGCUCGCAAGAGUGAAACUCAAAGGAAUUUGACGG